AUUGAACGCUGGCGGCAGGCUUAACACAUGCAAGUCGAGCGGAGCGAGGGUGCUUGCACCUUAGCUUAGCGGCGGACGGGUGAGUAAUGCUUAGGAAUCUGCCUAUUAGUGGGGGACAACAUUCCGAAAGGAAUGCUAAUACCGCAUACGCCCUAGGGGGGAAAGCAGGGGAUCUUCGGACCUUGCGCUAAUAGAUGAGCCUAAGUCGGAUUAGCUAGUUGGUGGGGUAAAGGCCUACCAAGGCGACGAUCUGUAGCGGGUCUGAGAGGAUGAUCCGCCACACUGGGACUGAGACACGGCCCAGACUCCUACGGGAGGCAGCAGUGGGGAAUAUUGGACAAUGGGCGGAAGCCUGAUCCAGCCAUGCCGCGUGUGUGAAGAAGGCCUUUUGGUUGUAAAGCACUUUAAGCGAGGAGGAGGCUACUUAGAUUAAUACUCUAGGAUAGUGGACGUUACUCGCAGAAUAAGCACCGGCUAACUCUGUGCCAGCAGCCGCUGUAAAAC
rnacentral:rRNA from 1 species